UUCCCAUGUAGUAAAGCUGCUACACAUUUUUCAACUACCCCAGAUACAACUAACUUACUGCACACCAGAACUGAGUGUCAUGUGUUUGCUCCCAUUUUUUUCCUACUUAAUAAGGAUUACCAUUCUCUUACACAAGGAAAAUGCCACAGCUGUAGAGCAAACCAACGGGUCAUUAUUCUCUGUCUCUCCCUAUGUACCAUGCUCUGACCCACGCCCCAUCCACGCUAUGGAGCUGGGACACUGGAAGCCCCCAGAGUCCGACUUCUAUCUGGGGCUUGGUUUUCAGCUUUGGACGAUCUGAGAACCCUGAUACGAUCCACAGAGUCUGGAAACUCUCAUCAGAAAUUCCCUGAAACAGAUGAAGAGCCAUUAAUGGUCCCAGUGAUGAGGGGCUGACCUGAAAUAGAGCCCAAAAGACCAGUUUUGUAUGGACCACAAUACCUCAUGAGUAUGAAGAAACACAGAGGGCCAGCACUAUUCACCAAGAAGCAACACUGAUCAGAGAUACUGUCCAGUAACUACAUCCAUUCAGCACUUUCUUUCAAUAGCCUUAAAAGAAAUGUUAAACGACUCGAACUUGAGCGAUGCUUGCAAAGGAAUGAAAGCAGCUGAGCCCACCGCAACUCACCCGUAGCAAGUACUCGGCUUUCCUCAGGAGUCAAAUUGUUUCUGAUAUGACCUCAGUGUCUCUGCCUUCGUGACUGUGCCUGGCGCUGCAGGUCACCCCUCACGUCUCUUAACCUUUGAUGGGAAAAGGGCUGCCUAAUGCUUAGCCCCUGCAUUUGUGUUCUCCAGCUUCCCUUUCUUCCACCUCGGCCUUGAUCUUUUAGAGCUAACAGCAAUAACUCUCACCGACGUUAUCUACACCAUUUAAAACUUAGGCACAUCCCAAUUAAUCUCCCCAGCUAUUUCAAGGUUUUUAAGUUGCAUGCAUUAAGAGCCUCCAGUCUCUUCCUGUAGCUCAUAACUCUCUCCGGCCUAAACCAUCUGCCCUGUUCUUCCCUGCACUUCAUUUAGAUUUUAGGUUUUAUAUUUGUAUAUGUAAUCCUUUGGCAUGGGAGGUCCUACAAAUUAAGUUUCUAUGUCUCAUUUCACUUGUGGCUUAAAAAAAAUCCACGUUGUGAAUCUUAAACUCUUCAAUGCAUUAAGAGAGAAUGUCCUAAUGGUCUUUUUUUUUUUAAUUGACACUCUUCCUUUUGUUUCUUUUUGUUUCUAUGUAACUCAAUUAUGAAUUGUGGCAAAUGAGCAGAUUUACCCACAAAUUAUCGACAAAACAACAGGUACCGACACGGGUAAAAGUGUAUGCUAUGUACCCAUGCGCUAGUCUUAUCAUGAGACUAGCGCAAACUCUUCCUCCCCCCCCUAUCUCCUCAAUAUGCUUCAGUGGGGACUCAAGGAGCUGGCACAAGGCGGUGCCUUCCACUGGCGCCUUUCAGAGGAAACGAUGUUAUUCUUCAGCAUCUCAGCUUUCAAUUAAAAACACUGAAGUCUCUGGCUGUUAUGGCUAUGAAGAAAACCUCAAAAAUGUGAACCAAGUGGAAGGGAUGCAGAGACAAAUCUGACAGCAGCCUGGAACAAUACCUCUGAGAGGUGUGAACUUUCUCCAGCAGUUACCGUGAUUUUUACGUCUUGUCUUUAUUAACUCUUUCACUCCUCAGGCGAGAGAGGAGAGGGAUAACUAUGCAAUUUCUGACAGGUGGUGUCCCCUAGUGCCAUGGGUACAUAGCAUUUGGAAUAUACCUUCAAACAUUUGUGGGAGAAAAUCAAGCCCCAGGACCAUAGCACCACCCUUGGGAAUAAGCAAGCUGCACUGAUGGUGCAGCCAGCUCAAGGAGUACAAGGGAGCUCAAACAGCUCAUGUAGCUGCAUUUGAAACCAUCUGCACCAUCUGCCCUGCUGGCAUCUCAUUUUGACCACUCUCCUGGGUGGAAAUGAUUUUGUGAGCAAAGCUUGGAAGAGUACCACCUCAUUAUUGUUUCCAUUAGCAUUACCAAGAAGAAGGCCAAGUAAUUUCAACCACUGAGAUCCAUUUGUAAUGUGGCUAUCAGCCCAUUAAGAACCAGGGCUUAUUAACUGCAUUUGAAUGCAACCUGGGGCUGUGGGUAGAAGGGUGCCUUCUGAUAGAUGUCUUUCCUGAUGGGGAUUUUUGUUCCUCCAGGUCUCUCUCCCUCAUACAAGCCCACACACUAGCCCUUUCUUUUUGCACAGGCAUUUCAUAGCGCUAACGUAUGAGCAUGGUAAGUGGCAUUAUUUAUGGAUUCUCAGACUGCCUCCCUUGUGUUAGUCACUUAUUAAUGAACCUAUCAGCUUCAGCAUGUGGAUUUGGUUCAAAGGACAAAGCCUGUUUACAUAUGGGAAAUAUUUCCUCUUGUAGCAGCAAGUGAGCUGCAUUGUUUCUGCAGCAGCUUGACAAUAGAUUGCGAGGCUGCAAGUGCUGCAUCUGCUGCAAAUGUGCUCGGCUGAAAACAGCAACGCAACGUUUGCUGUAAAAGAAAGAAACAUUCAUUAUUAUUUUUAUUGCUCCCAACUACUGUAAACUGUGGAGGAAUAGAGCUGCAAAGCUAGCCAUUAAACUGUCUGCUCUUUCCUGUUUAAACAAGGCCUCUCCUGGGUUUUAGCUGCCUCAACCACUGUGGGUCAACAUCCAGGAAGGAAGACGUUUCUAAGGUAACCACCGUGGCCUUCUACUAAGGUGGUUCCAUGAAAGCGCAGAACUGGUGAGAGUGACAAAAAGCAGUUCAUUGGAUAAUGUACAAAAAGUCAGUCCACCAGUCCAGCAGGAAACAACAACUGAGACAAACUGAAGAUGUGAAACACCCCUUGUACAACUAUCCCACAGCAUACAAAUGUCUGAAGCCAAGCAGGAGCUUCCUCACCAGCACCCAAACACUCGAUGCCAAACCCAAGGAGACAUGACUACAGGUAUGGAACAAGAGGCUAAAGAAAAUAUUAGGCACCGGAAUAUCCAGUUUUUCAUUGUCAGAGUCCUUGCCGUCAGGGUCUGACAAACCGUGGCAAAGAUGGUGAUGUUUCAACUGCCUACAUACCAGAAUUGGAUGCUCCAAGGAACUAAUGAAGAAGUGGGGGCUUUACCAUCGGUUUAACCAUCUGUGACUGUGACACAGAGCCUCAGACUAUGCAACACCUGCUGCAGUGCCUGCUGCUUGAAGGCAUGUGUACAAUGAAAGGUCUUGCAAAAUACAAUAAAUGAGCACCAGCAUGUCUAACAAAAUAGUCAAGCGUGAUGUUGAGACAUAAGUCUACCUUCAUUAUAUAAGAAAGCUACCAGCAUGUUUAAUCUACAGUAUAUUGUACAGCAAAGUAGAUAUGGCUUUGCCUUAUAGGUAUAUGGGUUGUAAGUUAGUAGCAGCCAAGAAAACCUGUAACACACAUCCUGAGGAAAAAAUAUUGGAAAGAUGGGAAGGGUGUUGUAAGUAGUGGCUUGCCCACAGUAACAAUUAAAGUAUGUAUCAGAGCUGUAAAUAGAAACCAAGAAACCCUGCUUUACCCACCAUAUCCUCCUUCAUACCAACAGAAGACAAAAUAUUAGCAUUGCUAUCUUGUCAAGUGAGAUGUAACUGGAAACAACUUCUAAUUGAGCAAAUGGGAAACUAGAGAUUGGGUUAUCCUGCUUGCCAUUGGCUACAGAGCUAUGUGAUCUGGGCUAAGACCAUCAGUAGUGAAGAGUAGCAGUGCUGCUCAUACCCAAUGGGAGAGAGGUGAUGGUGAAAAGGGAGAGGAGCUAUACUAUUGAUAUACUGGUGGAAGAAAGGAGGAAGUGUCAUCGCCUGGACUUAGAGGAGAGUGGAAAGAGACAUGGAGUUUGGUGUAGCUGAGGGUGAAGGAGGUGAUAAAGAGACUGAAAUGUGGAAGGAGUGGUAGAUUUGGUUUGUCCAAGAGGACAUCCCUACUACAUGAUAUGUCAGUGGGGUAGCACAGGAAUGGAAGGAAAGAGGGGUAGAAACAGGUGGAGAAGGCUCCAAACUUGCAAAGAGGUUCAAAGUUGUUGGAAGGGGAGAGAUAAAACAAUAGGUUAUCAUUAGAGUGCAGGGCCUUCAAACUAAAGUCUAAUUUCUGUGCACCAGAUAUUUAAGUGUUGGUUCAAAGGUCACCUUGCAAUACCAUUCCCCAAAGAAGGAUGAUGCUCCUUUUCACUAAAAACAGAAACCAUGGAGUAAGGUUCUGCCCUCAGUUAGUAUCAACAGUCAGAUCUGGACACGCUCAAUGCUGGAGAGAUGUCUAGAGAUCAAUAGAAAAGCAGCCAGUGCCAAAACAGAUGCUGAUUAUGUCACUGGCACUGAGAUGGGGUCAUAUUUAUCUUCACUCACCACAACUAAGUGUAGACCUGUCAAAUAGACUGAAAAAAAUUGUAGAUGAGGAUGAGAGAAGCACAGACAGCUGGCCUCAAUUACACCGAGAUCCAGGAAAAAGUGCUCAAUCAGGAGCAGGCAAAGGAAGAUAAGGAGCCUUUCUCACUUCCCUGCCUGGGCUACCUAUAUUAAGGGAGACAAACAGGAGAGGGGGAAGUGAAAACAACUGCCCUUGAGCUGAGAAGAUCCACUAUUCUUGGCACGCUGGCCAAAAGAAAUCGAAAGUUGAAACCAAAAAUGCUGGCACAGAGUAGUUCUUCCAUAGAGCAAAGGGAAAGCUCUGCUCUGCUUAUGGCUGGCCCUUUGUGACAGCAAUACAAGUCUCGCCCAGGUCACUAUGCACAGAUGUAAACAGACCUGCCUACUAGGGGUGUGCGAAGCAGGCCCUAUUUGAUUCUGAUUUGGCCCGAAUCAGGGACAGUGAUUCAAUUCAUUGAUUCAGAUCACUGUCCCUGAUUCAAUUCGUCCGAAUCUGAAUCUGAAGAUUUGAUGCUGAUUCAAUCAAUCAGCAAUUCGAACAUAGAUGCAGAGAGUCCGCCAGGGAGAGUGCGGGGGAACCCCUGUGCCCCCUGGCUUGGUGAUCAGUCACAGGGAGACGCUAGGUGCCCCCCCAGACCCAGAAGGCACCAGUUGCCAAGACGGGAGAAGUGCAGACGGGGUCCCCUUGCGCACUCCCCAGGGGACCCGGAAGAGGACCAGAAGUGCUUCUGGUCCACUUCCAUGUCUGCUGCUGAGCACUCUAGGGAGCCCCCCGCGCUUCUGUGUCCCAGCAUCUCGGCAUUCACGAGCCACCUGCUACCUAGAGGUAUUGCAGAAAAAGCAUUUAAAGCUGUCUCUAUCUCCGAAUUGCCAAAUCUUUCUGAAUCUCUCCGAAUCAAUUCAGAAUGUUCCGAUUCUAUUCAGAGAGAUUAAAGGGUCCCUGAUUCGCUUCGGUUUUGCAGAUUCAGCCACCAAAUCAGGCCAAAUCUCUGCCAAAUCAGGGACCAAAGCUUUGCACGGCCCUACUGCCUACACAGAGACAUUUCUGUUGUAUUUGUAUAAAAAAUAAACUGACAGUUUUGUAUUCUGUAGCACAAGGGCAGGCUAACAUUUUUCGUGUUAAGCUUUUUUUCUCAGUAAAAAUGCAGAAUUGUUAUUUAUAAGUGGUAUAUAAAUACAAGGUCUCUUUUUUAUUUCCUUCCCAAAAUGUUCAUUUAAAAAAAAUAAAAAAUUGCAAAGAAUUUUGGACAGACCAAUUCUGAUCCUUUCAAUAUGAGAUAUUUGGAUGCUGGCAUCUGAAUUGACUUUCUGUUUCAGGAAUUUAUUUUUAUGUUUUUGAGUUUAAAAAAGCAAAUAUUUAAAAAGUGAAAAAAUGUUGAUUGACUGGUCAAUUUUUUCCAAAUAUAUGAGUCACCAAAAAAAUUGCUUUUAUUGUGAACCAGAUUUCUUUCUUUUUUGUUUUUUGUACUUUUCAAGUUACCCAGUGUAAGCUGUAGCUCACAGAACUAUGUAUAUAAAUAAAUGAGGAUGCUAUAGUAAGAAAUUCAUGUCCAAAACGAGUGAAUUGAA